AGAACGAACGCUGGCGGCAUGCCUAACACAUGCAAGUCGAACGCUUGCCGGGCUUCGGUUCGGCAGGAGUGGCGCACGGGUGAGUAGCGCGUGGGAACCUGCCCUGUUGUGGGGGAUAACCGAGGGAAACUUCGGCUAAUACCGCAUACGCCGGGAAACCGGGAAAGAUUUAUCGCAGCAGGAGGGGCCCGCGUCGGAUUAGCUAGUUGGUGGGGUAACGGCCCACCAAGGCACCGAUCCGUAGCUGGUCUGAGAGGAUGAUCAGCCACACUGGGACUGAGACACGGCCCAGACUCCUACGGGAGGCAGCAGUGGGGAAUAUUGGACAAUGGGCGCAAGCCUGAUCCAGCAAUGCCGCGUGAGUGAUGAAGGCCUUAGGGUUGUAAAGCUCUUUCGCCCGCGACGAUGAUGACGGUAGCGGGAGAAGAAGCCCGGCUAACUUCGCGCCAGCAGCCGC
rnacentral:rRNA from 1 species